rnacentral:rRNA from 1 species
AGGAUAAACGCUGGCGGCGUGCCUAACACAUGCAAGUCGAACGUCUCUUCUUUCGGGAAGAGGAGUGGCGGACGGGUGAGGAACACGUGGGAACCUGCCCUUUAGUGGGGAAUACCGGCGAGAAAUCGCCGACAAGACCGCAUAGCCCUCUUUGAUGAGAGUCAAAGAAGGAAAGCUUCGCAAGAGGCGCUAGAGGAGGGGCCUGCGUCCGAUUAGCUAGUUGGUGGGGUAAGAGCCUACCAAGGCGUCGAUCGGUAGCUGGUCUGAGAGGACGAUCAGCCACACUGGGAUUGAGAACGGCCCAGACUCCUACGGGGGCAGCAGUGAGGAAUUUUCGUCAAUGGGGGCAACCCUGAACGAGCAACGCCGCGUGCAGGAAGAAGGUUUUCGGAUCGUAAACUGCUUUUCUCGGGGAAGAGAACGGACGGUACCCGAGGAAUCAGCCCCGGCUAACUACGUGCCAGCAGCCGC